ACGGAAGCAUUGGAUGGAAUUGUGAAACACUCUGUAAGUCGGGAUUCUAUGGCUAUCUCUGUUUAACGUCAUGUGAGUGUGGAGCUCACCUGUGUGAUAAACAGACUGGGUGUCUCUUACCACAGAAUGAUACAUCAACAACCCGAACCAACAAUCACACCCUGACUACUUUGUCAACAAUUGUCUUUGAAGGAACUGCAAGUCAGGAAGAGUACACUGCAACCACUCAAGCUCGAAAGCAGCCCACUUUUUCAGGAAACAGUGUUCAAGAAAAUACAAUCGAGAAUGUUUAUAUUGAAACUUUUGAUCAGAAGAGGAAUAUUAGUGGAACGUCAGUAUCUAGCGAUAACAGUUCAGAAAGACGA